AAUACCCUGCUGUGUUCGUGAUGUGGCCUUUGCGUUUUGAGCCAACACUUAACAAUUACUGGCUCGAGAUUACGUUCGUGACGCGAUAGGCUUUGGCCAAGGCGGAUCUAACGAUGAGAGCCAAUACCUGCGAGAGCAGGUUCAAAACUUAGCUACACACGGCAUGGUGGGGUUUCU
rnacentral:other from 1 species